GUUCUAAUCUAUGUCACACCCGCGUUGGAGAAAUUCUCAGAAAUAUGUCUGUUAUCUGUUCAAAAAUACCACUAGAUAAAAGACAAGAAUAAAAUUGACAGUGCAGUAUAAGAAAUUAAAGAACUGAGAGAUAAAAUACGUGAAUAAAAAGCAGUUAGAACAGUU